UUCUCGUUUCUUUAGAAACGAUCAUGCUCUAAUCCAAAUCGGAUAUUAAUUUCAGUUUUUUUUUUUUUCUGUUUAAUUAGGUUUAUAAAUUUUGCUUCGACGAUAUCAAUAAUUUUGAUUUCGGACAAGACUUUUGAUACCACUUUUAUCAAGUUCUCUCUUGCCUUGCGAGUUUAGAUCUCCAUCUAUUGGUGAUUGUUGAUGUCUUUGGUUUCUUCACAAAUCCUCUAUGUUCCCACCAAUUAGUUCGACGAGUAAUAUCUAUACCACUUCUUUAUGCACACACAUGAACAAAGAUCCGGCCACAUCAAUAUGGGUGUCGUCAGAGGUGGAGCUUCCCCGACGAUAAUGAUACUUGAAGAAUUUUUAAGCGACUUCCAUCACUUGAUCCGAAAGAAUAUCGACGAUUUUUGGACAUGGGUUCGAGAUCGACAGAAGGAAAGACGAUUCUCAACAUUUUGGUGAAUUCUAGCGGUUUCCCGCGAAUUCAACAGCGGUGCUUGACGUCUCG